rnacentral:rRNA from 1 species
UACGGGGGGGGCAAGCGUUGUUCGGAAUUACUGGGCGUAAAGGGCGCGUAGGCGGCCUUGCAAGUGGCGGGUGAAAUCCCUCGGCUUAACCGAGGAACUGCCUGCCAGACUGCAAGGCUCGAGACCGGGAGAGGUGAGUGGAAUUCCCAGUGUAGCGGUGAAAUGCGUAGAUAUUGGGAGGAACACCAGUGGCGAAGGCGGCUCACUGGACCGGAACUGACGCUGAGGCGCGAAAGCGUGGGGAGCAAACAGG